rnacentral:rRNA from 1 species
UACAGGGGGGGGCAAGCGUUGUUCGGAAUUACUGGGCGUAAAGGGCUCGUAGGCGGCCAACUAAGUCACACGUGAAAUCCCCAGGCUUAACCUGGGAACUGCGUGUGAUACUGGAUGGCUUGAAUCCGGGAGAGGGAUGCGGAAUUCCAGGUGUAGCGGUGAAAUGCGUAGAUAUCUGGAGGAACACCGGUGGCGAAGGCGGCAUCCUGGACCGGUAUUGACGCUGAUGAGCGAAAGCCAGGGGAGCAAACGGGG